rnacentral:rRNA from 1 species
UACGGAGGGUGCAAGCGUUAUCCGGAAUCAUUGGGUUUAAAGGGUCCGUAGGCGGAUUGAUAAGUCAGAGGUGAAAUCCCACAGCUUAACUGUGGAACUGCCUUUGAUACUGUUAGUCUUGAGUUAUAUGGAAGUAGAUAGAAUGUGUAGUGUAGCGGUGAAAUGCAUAGAGAUUACACAGAAUACCGAUUGCGAAGGCAGUCUACUACGUAUAUACUGACGCUAAUGGACGAAAGCGUGGGGAGCGAACAGG